rnacentral:misc_RNA from 1 species
CAGUGGUUACACAUCAUUGGUACUAGUCGGGCGUUGACUGACAUUCCGCUGACAGGUAAAAAAGAACGAAAAAAUAUGGGCAUUUAUGUAUAACGUUACAUGACAUUCGUGCACCUGUGUGAAAACCCUCGGUUCCCUCGGUGUCACUUGGAUCGGAUAAUAUUUCUUAGUCACAGUUUUCCGGCGUUGAUAUGUAUUAAAUUUCAAAAUGUCAGUGAAUCUGACGAAAAAUAAAGAAUCGCUUAGCGCCGCAUGGCGAAGCGUAGUCGACGACAAAUCCACCAUAGAUUGGGCUCUGUUUAGUUACGAGGGUCAAAGCAACGAUUUGAAGUUAGUCAGCACAGGCGAUGGAGGACUACAGGAAAUGAUCGAAGAAUUAAACAGUGGCAAAAUAAUGUACGCAUUCUGCCGCGUCAUUGAUGAAAAAACAAGUCUGCCAAAAUGUGUUUUGAUAAAUUGGCAGGGAGAAGGGGCGCCAAUUGUGAGGAAAGGAACCUGCGCUAAUCACAUCAGGGAUAUAGAAAAACUGUUAAAAGGAGCUCAUGUUACUAUAAACGCACGUACAGAAGAAGAAGUCGAAGUUGAUCUGAUAAUGGACAAAUUAGCCCGUGCCACUGGCUCCAGCUAUAAGUUUAAUGAACCUCGAGGUGAAAAUGGUGGCCAAUUAGGCCCAGUUGGCACCACGUACCGCAGAGUGAUACCUGAACAGGAAAUAAAUGCCAGCGAGCGUGACCAGUUCUGGCAGCGAGAGGAACUCGAAGAAAAACAGAGACUUGAAGAAGAGCGUUCACGACGAGACCAGGAGCGUGUAAAACUUGAACUAGAACGCCGUUCUAGGGAAGAAAAAGAAAGUGAACUUAGAGAUGCACAGGUUACAGCUAAAGAAAGUAUAGUGACAAAACACAGACAAGCAGAGUUGCGGGCUCAAGAGAUAACAAAUUUCCGGAAUCAACAGAACACUGAAACUCAACGAAACACUGACUCAGAUGAAGAAAGAAAAUCGCGCAGCGAAGAAUUGCGUAGACAACGUAGUAAAGAAACGCAGCAACUAAUCGCGCAGCGAACCAUAAAUGCUAGGGCUGUUUUUGAACAAAAUACAGCAGCUGGCCAAAUGAAGAGCGUGUCAUUUGUCCCAAAGACGAGUGAACUUGAAACUCGUGUCGAAUCGAACAAUAUUGUUAAUCGCAUCCUUGAAACUGUGGCUAAAGUGAAUAUCGACCCACAAAUACCAAUUCAAAAUACUGGAAAAGUAAUUGAGACAGAACCAGAAAUCUUGCAGUCUCACGUUGAUGCUCCACUAGCAGCGCAGAUUACUGCAUCUCCACAAAGUCAACCUAAGGAUAGUAAAUCGCAUAAUCUUCAGCCUGAUAUAGAAGAAACUGCAGAGCUUAACGUUCAGGAGACUGAAACGGAGCUCUAUAACCAGCUCGAAGAAGGCUCGUAUGUUUACUUUGACCCGAACAACGAAGGAAUGAAAGCAAGGGCUCUCUACGACUACCAAGCUGCCGAUAAUACCGAGAUUACAUUCGACCCUGGAGAUGUAAUUACGCAUAUUGACGCAAUAGAUGAAGGAUGGUGGCAAGGCUUAGGACCCGAUGGAACCUAUGGUUUAUUCCCAGCAAAUUACGUAGAAGUUAUUGAGUAACAUUUCCAAUAAAAUAAUGUGAAACUGCAUCAAAUUCUGCAUUGAAAAGUUACCUUACCUAAAUUUGAUGAGUUACCAGACAUGAGUCCAGUAAAGUCGUACAGAGGGGUCUUCUACAAGGUGCCAGUAACUCAUCAGAACUGUGGAAAAACUCAAAUAUAUUUACGGUUGACGGCAGCCUAUCGGCGGUGACAAUGUUGCGCUGUGUAUGGUGUUUCUGUUUAAAAAUUUUACAACAGACACCGGGGAGAGUCAAAAAAUGCUUUGUUCAUUUUCACUAUCUCUUACCCCUGCAUUGUUGUAUAAUUGUUGAAAGUAAAAAUGAGUUAAAAUGA